UUAAUUCUUUACCUGGUGCUUUUAUUAAGGAAAGUUAUCUAAAUCAUUUAAUGAAAAUCAACUAAAUGUAUUACCUCCUACAUUAGGAAUACAGUGACACAGAAGAAGAAAAACAACUCUUGGAUAAUGACUCUGGGCAGAAAAGGGAGAUGAGAUUGCAAACAAAAUAUCCCAAAAUAGGUUUGGAGAGAAAAUGAGAAAGAAAGAGUCUUGGUGAUUGAAGGGAAUUAGAAAUGAUAGAAGAAGGGGAGAUACAUAGCUCUCUCUUGGUUGAUUAUCUUGCACUGAGGAAUUUCUAUGAGAACGGAUCUAGGGAAGUACAACUUAGUCCAGGUUAGAUGACUUUCAGAGGCAAUUUCUGCAUAGAACUAGAUUCCUCAGUAUUCAGAAGAAGUAUGGUAGAAGUUUGCCCGGAUGGCACAAACUGGAAUGCCUGUAUGAGCUGAUUUACCCUGACUGACGUUCAGAUUGACUGAUCGGUAGGAUUUUGCUGUUAUUCACCCACAUCUCCAGUUUGUACUAGCCUAGAAACCUUCUAUUUGAUGACUUAUUUGUCCCAUUUUGUCUCAAAUACAUAGAAGGGGCGAAAAACAUUAUUCUAGUGGGAGGUUUCUGUCACUUUUGUUCAUUCUGAAUUUGUACAGAAGGUAACACACACAACACUUAGGUGGCAUCUAUAUGGUUGUUAUUUCAUUAGAUUUCUAGUAGAGAUGCCUCUGACCUGUUCCUGUUCCCUGCCAAACCAAUUCUGAGAGCCUGAUUAAGGCAACAGGGUCUUGAGGUCAAGAUUCCACAAGCCACCGUUGACUAAUUAAAUAUCACAACGUAACAGCUAAACUUCCUCUUUGUAGCUUCAGAGACUCCAUAGCACAAAUCUUCCCCCUAAAUCAUAUAAACUUGAUAAAUAAAGCAGCAUGCAUAUAACUGAGCAUAUAUUUUGAAAUGCUUCUAAAAAGUAGAACAUCAAUUUAAAGCAUUAAAAAAAUGUUAGACUUCUUUCUUUUUUUUUUUUUUUUUUUUGAGAUGGAGUCUCGCUCUGUUGCCGAGACUGGAGUACAGUGGUGCAAUCUCGGCUCACUGCAAGCUCUGCCUCCCGGGUUCACGCCAUUCUCCUGCCUCAGCCUCCCUAGUAGCUGGGACUACAGGUGCCUGCCACCACGCCCCGCUAAUUUUUGUAUUUUUAGUAGAGACGGGGUUUCACCUUGUUAGCCAGGAUGGUCUCGAUCUCCUGACCUCGUGAUCCGCCUGCCUCGGCCUCCCAAAGUGCUGGGAUUAUAGGCGUGAGCCACCGCGCCCAGCCUAGACUUCUUAAUACGUAUGCCUCUGAUAGACUGCCACUUUCUCCUUUAAUGAUAAGUUUCUAUUUGCCUCACCCCCCCCAGGAGUUGUUUGCUCUUGAGUAGGACCUAUGCUUAAAUUUGUACCUGCCACUGCUGACACUACUACCAAAUCAAUUGUUCUUACUAAGUUAGUAUCUUAUCCGAGAAAGAGGCACUGGGUUUUCUUCAUCAUUCAAUCAAUCUCUAGAGGCAGCUUUCAGUGUCUCUCAAAUUCUAUCAGUAAAUUGAAGUUUCUCCUGCCUGAACUGCACCCUGACCUCACCCCUUGGUGAGGGUGCCCCAUAUCUCAUCCAUCCAUGCUCAGACAAAUGUCACAGAUCUCUAAUUCAACUCUUAUUAUGUCAUCGUAAUGGAUGAACAAAUGAAGUGAAUUUACAGACAGCAAUCCUGGGCUUCCCGUCUUUGACUCUCGAUGUAUGGGCCCCUCCUGCUGCAUAUUUACAUACAAUUAGCAAUAAAGUAGGGUUCUCACAGUUAUUUUGUUUCUUUGUACAUAAGGCAAUUUUAGUGCCUUUAUAUAUCUAGUAUGUUCUUACACUCUCAUUCACUCAUUCAUUUAAAAAUAAUUUUGCUCAAAAGCUGAAGAUGCAAUAUUUAUGAUCGAGGAGAUUUAUUAGGACAGGAGAAAAUAUCAGAUGAAAGUUGGAUGACUGGUACAAAGUGCUGCAGAAAUUUUGAAGAAAGAAAGAAUAUAACAUACAACUGAGAAACAAUUUAGGAAAUGCUACUUUCAAGUACUUAAUUUCAUUAUGGGUGCCUGUCUCUUUUGCUAUCAUAAGACAAAUAUAGACCCAAAGCACAGGACACAAGCAUUAGUGAACAACUUGGGAAAGCAGCAUUUUCCAGAGUGUGCUCCACAGAAAUCCUACAAUGUAUUUCAUCGAAAAAGAUUCCAUGGCCACUAAAUUUGGGAAGUGCCACCUAAGCAACCCUCUCUCUUGUGGGUCACAGUAACCAUCAGUAUAUUAAAGACUCUGAAGUUGUGCACUUAAAACAAAAUAAAACACACACACACUCACAUACACACACAACCAGAAAACUGUUUCCUUCCUUCCUUCCUUCUUCCCUUCCUCCCUUCCUCCCCCUUCUUCUUCCCUUCCCUUCCCUUUCUCUUUCUUUUUGACAGUCUCACCCUGUUGCCAGGCUGGAAUGCAAUGGCACGAUCUCGGCUCACUGCAAGCUCCAACUCCCUGGUUCAAGUGAUUCUCCUGCCUCAGCCUCCCAAGUAGCUGGAAAUACAGGUUCAAGGAUGCUAAGUAAUUCUUCGACCCCUGAAGAUUGGCCUAUAAGGAGGGAUGCACCAGUUAGGCAGAUAUCAGCAUUGG
rnacentral:lncRNA from 1 species